UACGGAGGGUGCUAGCGUUGUUCGGAUUUACUGGGCGUAAAGGGUGCGUAGGCGGCCAGAUCAGUCGGGUGUGAAAGCCCGGGGCUCAACCCCGGAACGGCACCCGAGACGGUUUGGCUGGAGACCGGGAGAGGAGGGUGGAAUAGCCAGUGUAGAGGUGAAAUUCGUAGAUAUUGGGUGGAACACCGGUGGCGAAAGCGGCUCACUGGCCCGAUACUGACGCUGAGGUGCGAAAGCGUGGGGAGCGAUCAGG
rnacentral:rRNA from 1 species